UAAUACAGAGGGCGCGAGCGUUGUCCGGAAUCACUGGGCGUAAAGGGCGCGUAGGUGGCCACCAUAAGGCCGCGGUGAAAGUUCGGGGCUCAACCCCGAAUCGGCCGCGGCGACUGUGGGGCUAGGGUACUGUAGAGGCAGGUGGAAUUCCGGGUGUAGCGGUGGAAUGCGUAGAGAUCCGGAAGAACACCAGUGGCGAAGGCGGCCUGCUGGGCAGUGCGACCGAAAGGUCGCUUCAACCGACACUGAGGCGCGACAGCGUGGGGAGCAAACAGGAUUAGAUACCCUGGUAGUCCACGCCGUAAACGAUGGGCACUAGGUGCUCCGGGGAGCGACCCUUGGAGUACCGGCGCUAACGCAUGAAGUGCCCCGCCUGGGGAGUACGGCCGCAAGGCUG
rnacentral:rRNA from 1 species